UACGGAGGAUCCGAGCGUUAUCCGGAUUUAUUGGGUUUAAAGGGUGCGCAGGCGGGAGAUUAAGUCGGCGGUGAAAUUUUGCAGCUCAACUGUAAAAGUGCCUUCGAUACUGGCUUUCUUGAGUGUGGAUGAAGUAGGCGGAAUUUGUGGUGUAGCGGUGAAAUGCUUAGAUAUCACGAGGAACUCCGAUUGCGCAGGAAGCUUACUAAACCACUACUGACGCUCAUGCACGAAGGCGUGGGGAUCAAACAGGAUUAGAUACCCGCGUA
rnacentral:rRNA from 1 species